ACUUCAUGCUUUUCCUCUGAAGCUGUUUGCUGUUUCACAGCUGUUUCACAAUGAAGAACAAUUAUUUUUGGCCAUUUUCUGAGGCAUGGGUUGUUUUUUGCCCAGUAAUAAAAGGUAUUUUAAGGAGAACUGAAAAUCUGUUCAUUGAGAUAGAUCAUAAAUAGAAGAUUUUAUAGUCUCUGUUGUCUGGGCUACUGUACUGUACAAGCAUCGUAUUCUAACUAAAAUAUCAAAAUGAACACAGAAAUAAAAUGCCCUCUGAGCUGAAUAAAAUGUGUUUUAUUCACAAGACAAAUUUCUGCAGGGCAGAACAGAAAAUAUGAUGAGGCACAUUGAUUUAUUCCUUUUGUGAAAACUGAUACCAAACCAUUAUGCUAUCAGAGAAGUAAUUCUCAGCUGGCAGGUCAAGAUCCCUUUCUGAGUCAUCAUGAAUUUCUUCUGAGUGUUGGAAGCAAGUUGGCAUGAUUUAAAUGUUGAAAUAUAAGAAAAAAAAACAUUCAAGAAUGAGGAAAAAAAAAAUCACGCUGGGCAAAAUUUCUACAGAAGAAGAGUUUGGCCAGUCGGCCUAGACCUGAAAGGGCAUUUGUGGUAAGUGAGCAAGAGAAGUGAGGUUGCAGGACAAGUAAUGAAAUGAAAAGAGCUACUCGUCCAGCCUCCUUGGGCUGAUGGAGUGAAGCUCUCUGUGCUCCUUUCCUCUCGCCUUCACUCCGUGCGUUGCUGCUGUGGACUCCUGAGUGGUGCUGUGUGCCUUUCAGUGCUUGUUUAGCCAGUAAGGGGACGGUGAGGCCCAAACUGUAAAGUCUGGAUUCUGCUGCACUGGAAAGCUUAACAGGACAUCCUCUAGAUGAUAAUUCAGAUGGAAAUUUACAACCUAUGUAUUUCUGAUAAACAUUUUAAAGUUCCCAUUGCAUACCAGACAGUGUUUUGUUUCCAGCCUGCUCAUUGGUAGGAUGCCCAUUACCAUAGAUGAGCAAACUCAAAGACUGCAGGCUUUGGGAAGCACAUGGUAUGUGUCAAGCUGACCCACUUCUUGAAAGCCAGCCCGAGCCUUUGUGAAAUGUCCUGUAGUUGUUAGAAGGGAUGUUAGGAUGUCAAGAAUGUUUAAGUCUCCAGUGACAGUAUAAUUACUGUUGUGGUGUUUAUAGAGGUGGGAGGGCCUGAGGGGAAAGGGGGCAAAAAAGGAGAAUCAGGAAGUGAGAUGAGUAAGGCUUUAGGAAUUGCGCCCAGAUGGAGUUUCAUCAUGCUUUUUUCUUCAGCUCAUUUGGCUCCUUAGUAAAUUAGAUGUUUACAUUUGAGAAACUAUUAUUUUUUUCCCUCUCUGCAUCUCCUACACUUACAAACUCAAACGUUCCACAUGCUAAUCUGAGAGGCCGCUUUUAAAUGGACUUCAGGAACAUGAAACUGCCAGGUGAAAAUGCUGAGUUUAAAUAAUAUUUGGUUGUAGCUCUUGCCAGUCCUACUGCUAAUCUGUAGUUUGUCACUUUCAAAUCUAAUCUAAGGGGAAGCAGUCUAGCAUGAAAUCCCAAAUGUCUGCUGAGAUCUGAAAUCCUGAAGAUCUGCUGCCCUUGUUAGAUAGCAGUAUCUUACCGUACAGGACUGCGCUUUAUGUUACAAUUUAGUGAAUAUAUUCAAUCUUCCAGAAACUUCUAGGAUGUUCAAGCAGUUGCCUCUUUUUAUUUUGAAAGUACAAAAGCACGCAUCUACAAAAUACAUAUUCUGACAAGGUGUAAAGUGGUUUUUUUGGCUUUGUUCAGUCACAGAAACCUUCGGGUAUACUUGCCUGACAGAACAAUUGAAAUAUUUCAGUCAAGGUCAUGAUUUUGCAGGCGAUUGUUUUUAAGAUUAACUUGCCAUUACGUAUGCUGUCAUGAUUGCAACGUAUACGCUCAGAAGACUGGAGGAAGAAUAGCUUCCUGUUCUAGCAUAUAUUAUUAUUGUGAUCAGGAGUUACUGGUGUUUGCCAAGCCACACCUAUGCUAACCUCUGCUAUCAACAAUGUUAUUUAAUCUACUUGGUACCUUCUUUCAAACCUUUUGAAUUUACCUGUAUGAGAAUUCCACGGAGUAUGAUAUGAAAACAUUUGAAAUAUAGAAAUGCUGUUACGGUUGCAUCCUCUUGGCAAUAAAUCACUUUUUCUUUCUAAGAACCAAAAUGCUGACAUAGACAGAGAGGUUGUCCUAUCUCCUCUCCCCUCCACACCCAGACCAGCUAUCCCCUGAGCACGGCUUAAAGUGUUCUUAAACUCUCCCAUGACUGAUAAGCUAACAGAUUUCGCUUGGGUUUUGACUAGUAACAAUGAAAGUGAAUGCUUGAGUGGUUGAAAGCACGUAUUUAAUUUGGAUAUUCUGGAAAUGAAAUGGAACGUAAGCGUAUCUGUUGCUUGAAAAUUCAACAGCACUUUCCAAAACAGAAAAUUCUGAGUUUGGUUCUGGAUUUUCAAUGCCACACUAAGUGUUCAAAACUCAUGAGUCAAUGCCACCCACGACAGAAAUUGACUUAAAAGCCCAUAUUCUUAAAAAUAAGAUGUUUUAAGAGGAUGGGUAGGUGGUUGGUUAUUUGCCAUCUGUUUUCUGUGCUUUUAGGAGAUCUUUCUUUCAUAUUUCCAAGCUUUUGUCAUAUAGGGGAAUUAAAAACUGGUUUAAAACAAUGUAGAAGCUGAGAUUCUUACUUCAGUCCCUUGACCUUGGUAGCUGAAAAAAGGUGUCAAUGCAUUUGUAGUAAUAUUAUUAGAAACAGCAACAUCCAAUUUGACCUAACAGCAUUUUAGCAUCUUCUCAGAGUUACAGCUUUGUAGAGGAAUGAACACUAAUCUGUAUGUAGGGAUCCCCUCAUAUUUAAUAUUCUUGCUUUGUGGGUGGGGUUUUUUUUUGAGAAAAGGAAAAGUGUGGAGAGCAAUUCUUUGCUAUCUCAAAAUGCUCUGCUAGCAUUCCAUUGCAUAUUGCUAAUUUUGGCUAACUUUUCUGUUUUUUAAGGUAAUUAACACAUAAUAAAGUUUGCUAAUAGGCAAACAUUUUCUGGACUCACAGGCACUAGUAAGUAAAGUCUCAUGGUAGAGAUGAGUUUAUUUUUGUACUUAAAGAUUGCAGGAAGGUAACAAUUCUGUGUUGUCAUGGAUUUGUUACACUCGGCUAGGUUUUGUUGACUAGAGGAAGGUUUUGAUAAGCAAGUAUUUUGCUUUAUUUCAGUGUUCUGUGGAGUUCUGGGAUAAAUUUUCUUAUUGGAGACUCCUUAUUUGUUCCAAUAUUGUAUGUCAUUGUCACACCAAACAACUUUGACUGAAUUCUGUGAAUGCAAACAACUCCUCUGUAUACCACUCCUUCCAGUUAGUUACCUGAAUUGCUGAGCUCUAGCAGCUCUCAUAUUUCCUGAAGUGCCCUAUUUAAGUCAUAUGGUGGGCAGCAUUUGUCCUCAACUCAGAACUAACCCUCAAGAGGAGGCUGGGGUCAAACAUAAUAUGAAGUUGUGUUGCAGAACCGGUUAGUGAGAGCAAUACAAAGCCAGCGACAUGUGCUCACAGCCCAGAAAGCCAACCAUAUCAUGGGCUGCAUCAAAAGAUGUGUGACCAGCAGGUCGAGGGAGGUGAUCCUGCCCCUCUGCUGUGCGCUGCUGAGGCCUCACCUGGAGUACUGCAUCCACGUGUGGAGCGCUCAGUACCGGAGAGACACGGACCUGUUGGAGCGCGUCCAGAGGAGGGCCGCAAAUGUGAUCUGUGGAAUGGAACACCUCUCCUGUGAGGAGGACAGGCUGAGAGAGCUGGGGCUCUUCGGCCUGGAGAAGAGAAGGCUGUGAGGUGACCUGAUAGCGGCCUUUCAGUGUCUAAAGGGGAGCUCCAAGGGAGAAGGGGACAGACUCUUGAGCAGGGUCUGUGGUGAUAGGACAAGAGGAAAUGGUUUCAAACUAAAAGAGGGAAGAUUUAGGUUGGAUAUAAGGAAAGUGGUGAGGCACUGCAGCAGGUUGCCCAGAGAUGUGGUGAUGCCCCAUCUGUGGAGACAUUCUACAAGGCCAGGCUGGAGCAGGUGCUGAGCAACAUGAUGGAGCUGUGGAUGUCCCUGUUCACUGCAGGGGAGUUGAACUAGAUGACCUUUAAAGAUCCCUUCCAACUCUAAGGAUUCUAUGAGUGUAUGAUUCUAUGAAAUCACAAAUGAAAAUUCUACCUUUAGUUUAAGUCAAAUGUUUCUCAUUUGCUGCACUGACUAACCUGGAUUUUCAAAUGAGAGUCCAUGCAGAAAAAAAGAACAGGUUCGUUUGAGACUCUGAAGAACCUGACAAUGCAUUUCUAAAAGGUGUUGCCAGAUUGCAAGAAGGGUACAAGCUGGCACAUAAAUGGGUAUGUUUCAGCUCUCCUUGGUGUAAGGCUACUGGGCCCCACAGGCCUCCUGCCCACUGGUUGACACACUGCAGGAGCAUACCACAAGAGCUCUGCCCAGAUGCACGUACACCCAGAAGGAAAUAAAGCUGCAAGGCUUAAUCCAAGUUAACGUGUUUCUUAUUAUUAAGUGUGCUUGUCUUUGCAACCUUAUUAAUGUUCUUAUGAUGUUUUUACAGCCUCUGCCUGCAGCAUGAUUCCCUUCACCUGGAGCAAUUCUGAACAAAGGUCUGCACUUUUGUCCUGCACGGGUCCCCUGCUAGCUGCUGGGGACCACUGGGCAGCUGCCUGAGGUGUGGAAAUGCUGGAAUGUGGAAGAGGAGGAACUGAGAGCUGCUGAAGAUCUGGGGAAGCUGAAGUGAGAUGUGACUCAACAGCAUAUCAUCCCUGGCUCAUAGGAAGAGGAAAAAAAAAUAGGAGAGCAACAAAACCAUAAAACUAGUAGCAAGUUGCCACGAAAAAGACUAAUAGGAGGAAAAAGGCUGCCUCAAAGCCUGAGGUGCCUCUGCAGAACCAUUUCACAGUUCUCCAGGCUGAGAAGGAAAAAAAAACAAUAACGGGCACCGACACAUCUGUCAGCAACCUGAAGAUUAUCAAGAGGAACUACAAGGAUCUGGGAGCAGCAGUGAAGAACUCGGGAGCACAGACACCUUGGAAUACUAACGCAGCCUGUGAACAAAGAGCCUGUAAAAACUUCGUUCUGAAGAAUGGAAGGAAUGAGGUCAGCUACAAAAGAGGAGGUUGGAUGUCAUCGAGUCACAGCACCCCCGGGACAGAAAAGAUGUGAGGGUUUUUUUGGUAUUUUGUCAACUUUUGCAGCUCGCUGCUGUGGGAGGAGCUCAAGGCAAAUAACUCUGAGAUGGGAUUUGGCCAAAGGUUGGGAAACUGAUCAUUAAUAACUUCUGUUGAGACUGUGCUCAGGGUAAUUGCUCUGUAUUUCUUGUCACAAACCUGUUGUCUAGGAGGGGUCAGGCAGAACUGUUCCCUACCCCCGCCAAGCACAGGGCUGCUGGUUGGGCUUUUUGUGCCUUUCAUUGCAUUGAAGCAUCAAAUACUUCCACCUGGAAAGGCACAGUGCUAAUGGCUGGAUGAGGGGUAGCCUAGUGGCAGGCGCUAAUAAAGCAGUGGGCAGGCUGCCAUAAAAGUUCAGGUUCUGAAAGGCUGGCUGGCAUUUGAAAACACCGCCUUUCCUCAGCAUGGAUGGAACAGCAGCAGCAUUCUGGGCCUUGCGCUGUAUCAGUGGCUGUGCUGUGUGCUAGGGCUGUCCCUCAAGUUUGGUUCCAGCUUCCUCUGUUGUUUUUUUCUUCAUUAUGCAACUGCCUAAAAGGCUUCUUGUCUGAACCUGAAGCAGCGUCUGAAAAACUCUGUUUUAAUUACUGGCACAUGCAGCUCCGUGACACACAUCCUGGUGUAACCUGGGCAUUGCUACUUGAACUGGGAAGUGCUGAUAUCACUGUAACGAGCAUAAUAUGGACCUUAGACAACAUAAGACUGAGAACAGAACACAGCUCCUCCCUCAGAUAGCAUUCCUUUGAGCAGUGACUGUAUAAGUUUGUUUGUGUCUUUUUCCCCCCCCCCAUGUUUAUUAUUUCAAGAAGCAUAUAUAAAAUGUGUUCAGUUUAUGAGAAAACAAGAAGAUCCUGGCCUUCCUGUCAGCACUGCAGGCUCAUCCUAUGCUUCAGAAAUCCAUCAGAUUCCUUCCCCCUCAGAUCACCAGUUGUGAGUGUUCUGUGGGACAGAUGUAUGCCUUGUUUACAUUGCACAACAACACUGUCUUCAGGUUCUGCUCCCAGUGUGCAUACACAAUGUGGAAUCACAUCCAGCUCAUUUGCUUUCCCUCUGUUCUGUUGUCUCUGAAAAGCCAAGAGGAUUAAAAAAGGCAGCAAACAUUCACUAUUGUUAAUAAGCCCAGUUCAUCUGACUUUAAAUAAACAAAGUAAUAAAUCCAUUAGGAAAUAAGAUGUGACUUCUCCUAGUUACCCUCCAGGAGAGAACCAUGCCUUCAGGAAGAAAGAAAUGGAAGAGCUUUAUGCCUGAGGCAUUUCUGAGAACAGUAAAAAGGCAUGCAAAUAGAAAUCCAAUCUGUUUCUGAUGCACAUGCUGGGGCUGAAAAGAGUCAUUAGACAAAUAUGUUGUUCCUGAGCAGCAGAACUAAUGAAGCCUGGUUUGCUACGGAUUCACGUCCUUUGUCCCACAUCUCCCUUCCCACCAGCACAGGAAUUCCAGCUCCCCUGGUGCCUCCUGUGGCGUUGUCACCACCACCAGGCGUCAGACUGGGGCAGUUUGGAGCUACAAAAACAUUCGCUGGUUGUCAGCACGUGGGUGCUGGCCGGCCA